GUCUACGGCCAUACCACCCUGAACACACCCAAUCUCAUCUGAUCUUGGAAGCUAAGCAGGGUCCGACCUGGUUAGUACUUGGAUGGGAGAAAGCUAAAUUUGAAAAUA
rnacentral:rRNA from 1 species